CCUACGGGAGGCAGCAGUGAGGAAUAUUGGUCAAUGGACGAGAGUCUGAACCAGCCAAGUAGCGUGAAGGAUGACUGCCCUAUGGGUUGUAAACUUCUUUUAUAAAGGAAUAAAACGAGGCACGUGUGCCUUUUUGCAAGUACUUUAUGAAUAAGGAUCGGCUAACUCCGUGCCAGCAGCCGCGGUAAUACGGAGGAUCCGAGCGUUAUCCGGAUUUAUUGGGUUUAAAGGGAGCGUAGAUGGGUUGUUAAGUCAGUUGUGAAAGUUUGCGGCUCAACCGUAAAAUUGCAAUUGAUACUGGUAGUCUUGAGUACAGUUGAGGUAAGCGGAAUGCGUGGUGUAGCGGUGAAAUGCUUAGAUAUCACGAAGAACCCCGAUUGCGAAGGCAGCUUACUAAACUAUGACUGACAUUGAUGCACGAAAGUGUGGGUAUCAAACAGGAUUAGAUACCCUGGUAGUC
rnacentral:rRNA from 1 species